AUUUCGCUCGCGUGAGGGAUAGCAGCGGCAUCCUUUUUUAGGUGUAAAAACUUCUCGACUCCGCUCGAAGUGACUCCUAAAAAAGAUAUAGCGAAUAGCCCGGUUUUGA
rnacentral:sRNA from 1 species